GACAGAGGAUGCAAACGUUGCUCGGAAUUACUGGGCGUAAAGCGCGCGCAGGUGGCUCGGUAAGUCGGGUGUGAAAUCCCGGGGGCUCAACCUCGGAAGUGCACACGAUACUGCCAAGCUCGAGUACUGGAGAGGAUGGCGGAAUUCCUAGUGUAGAGGUGAAAUUCGUAGAUAUUAGGAAGAACACCAGUGGCGAAGGCGGACUCACUGGCCCGGUACUGGACGCUGGAGGUGACGAAAGCCAGGGGAGCAAACGGGA
rnacentral:rRNA from 1 species